AGUUAUUAUUAUGAAGUUUUAUUAUUAAGUUAGACAGUUAAAGACUAGAUAUUUGAAAACUGGCCGAAAACGGCUUAUUAUUACCUCAAACAUCGAUUCACAGACGAUUUCUGGCUCAGAAACUAGAAAACUUUCAUAGAACAAUGGGAAAAAGCCUCAUUCUAACUUAAAAAUACUAUUUGCAAAAGUAAAACCAUUUUAACAAGAACUUAUGUAAAAUGAUCCUGAAAAAAGCAAAAAUUACGUUUUUUCUUUAAAUUUUGCUAAAUUUGAAAACUGGAAAUAUAACACGUGACAUUAUUAGCUACUAAACUAGACGGUAUUAACAUUUUGACUACACUUUAAUAAAAUUUUAUGAGGCUAUUAAUUCCAUUAUUUGUUACGUGACACCAGCAGAAAUUGUUUCAAGUUUUCGACAUAUCUGUAACGGCAUAUUUUUCCCACGUGAAAUUCGUAAAAUCGAAACAGACGUACACAUAUUAAAUAUUUUUAUGCAAAUUUAUCAAACCCACGCUGACACACCUGACACGACUAUAAAUGUUCACAUCUUUAAAAAAUCUUCAUCAACAAUAAUUAUUGCAAGAAUAAAUUUAUUUGUCGAAUAAUUUUGAUUUUCAAGCUGAAAAAGGGGGUUACGACCCGGUUCCGGUCUCAUCUUUAAUUCAUGCGCUAAUUUUCUUGGAUUCUGUCCAGAUUUUUUUCGUGGUAGAGGUCGAAUUGGCCAACAUCCUGACCCGUUGCAUGUCAUAAAUGUAAUUACCAUAACAAUUGUAUAACAUUCCGUUUACAGUCUAUUGGUUUAUAAGGCAACCUAAAUUCGCAUUGAAAUGUCGGAGAGGAGAUUUGUAUCGCAGGGCGUGAUUUAUUUUGCAAUUUGUUUGAUUGUUCCCCUUUUUGCAAAAUUAUUCGCAAUAAUUUCAGUUUUUUUUUUUCAAUUAGUUUAAACGUAUUUUUGUUCUUGAUAAAAUCUUCCGUGCUAAUUAACGUUAAAAUAAUCUUGUGUUUUGUUUUAAUUGUCAAGGCGACGUUGUUGAUUCAUUUUGAUAAAUUAAUAAAGGUUUUUAACAAAGGAUUUGUUUCGAAAAUUUUGUAGUGUGAAUCAUCGAGGUCAUUUUUGAUAUCAAUUGCGGAAACGCUAUCCAUCUUGAGUCGAAUGAUCCUAAAAUGAUUAGCAUCCUUUUCGACAAAGGAAUGUUCUGUCCAAAUAAAAAAAUUGCAACAUAUUGUUAAAAAAUGGAUUAAUGGAGGAAAUUUCUUGCCGUAAGAUCGCAAAUUGCGAGAGCAUUUCGAAGUGAUAGUGAGUGCAUAACCAAGCUGUAAUCAUUGCAUAAAUAAAAGUUUUUGUUGAAUAAA